rnacentral:tRNA from 1 species
UGCCAAUUAGUGUAAUGGUAACACACCGGACUCUGACUCCGUACUUGUAGGUUCGAAUCCUACAUUGGCAGCCA